GUGGGCCUGGAGAUGAUUGUUCACUGCAGGAGCAUUCACCUUUUUAGAUGGGUGCUUCCUGUCUAGAGAAGGAGACACGGGGAGCUGGAAAGAGAAGCCUGCAGAAAUAGGGACCGGGCAAAAACAAAGGAGGGUGGAGUCGGGGAGUGUAGAAGAGAUAAAGUAAGGACUGGAGUGAGGAAGAGGCAUCAAAAGAGGGAGGGAAUGGUGAAGGCAGAAAACCGUGAGAAACGGGGAGUGAGAAGAUAGCAUGAGAAAGACAGGAUCAAGUCAGGCGUGGUGGCUCACGCCGGUAAUCCCAGCACUUUGGGAGGCUGAGGCGGGCGGAUCAUUUGAGGUCAGGAGUUUGAGACCAGCCUAGCCAACAUUGUCUCUACUAAAAAUACAAAAAUUAGCCAGGUGUGGUGGUGUGUGUCUGUAAUCCCAGCUACUCAAGAGGCUGAGGCAGGAGAAUCGCUUGAACCCAUGGUGGGGUGGAGGUUGCAGUGAGCCGAGAUCGCACCACUGUACUCCAGCCUGGGUGACAGAGUGAGACUCUGUCUCAAAAACAAACAAACAAGCAAACAAAAAAACCAGGUAAACUGAGGCUGGGUUUUGUAUCCCAGACCAAAUGCCUGCACUUUGAAUGCCUGGUUGGGAAGCCUGAGAUUAUCCUGUAGGGAAGCAUCGAGAGCAUGAACUGAAUGGUGUUAGGAGACAAUUAUCCAUGGCUCUCUUACCUUUCUGCCUGUCUCCUGAAAAAGGUAUUAGCCACUUUUGAGUUCCAGAUUGUCUUUUUAUGGAUGUUUCUCUAGAGCAUCAGAGCAUGUUUGUUCACUGUCUUAGAUAAUAAAGAUAAUGUCCUUCCAUAAUGAUUUAUUUAUUGGCUAGGAUAGUAAAUACAACAUGUCCUUCCGGGGCAGGUGGAUCAGCAGUCCGACAUAACAAAGAUAAUAUCUCUCCGAGUUUCAAAGUCAAGCAGAUUUCCUUGCAUCUCCCUUAUAAGAUUGAAGAUUUGUAAAUACAUGUAAACAGAGGUUCCCCAGCAUUGACGCAAACCACUGUGUGCGCAGCAUCUGCCUGAGCCACUCUGAUCAUCCCUGUAGGACCUGGGGGGCAAGGUGAGCCCAUGUGAACAUGAAUCUCAUGCUGCCGGCUGUGCCAUGAGUAAUAAAGUCCUUUGUCUCUGACCCGGAGUUGUUGUGUGUUCUGCCAAUAGUUUCACUGGAUACAAAAUUCUUGGCUGAUAAUUGUUUUGUAUAAGGAGGCUAAAGACAGGACCACAAUCCCUUCUAGGUUGUAGGGUUUUUGCUGAGAAAUCUGCUGUCAAUCUAAUAGGUUUUCCUUUAUAGGUUACCUGAUGCUCCUUCAUCUUGACUUUAGAUAACCUGAUGACUAUGUGCCUAGGGGGGUCAUCUUUUUUUUGUUUUGUUUUGUUUUGAGAUGGAGUCUCACUCUGUUGCCCAGGCUGGAGUGCAGUGGUGCGAUUUCGGCUCACUGCAACGUCCGCCUCCCGGGUUCAAGAGACUCUUCCGCCUCAGCCUCCCGAGUAGCUGGGAUUACAGGUGCGUGCCACCACACCCGGCUACUUUUUUAUAUUUUUAGUAGAGAAGGGGUUUCACUGUGUUAGCCAGGAUGGCCUCGAUCUCCUGACCUUGUGAUUGGCCUGCCUAAGUCUCUUAAAGUUCUGGGAUUACAGGCGUGAACGACUACGCCCGACCAGUGGUCAUCUUUUUGCAAUGAAUUUCCCAGGCGUUCUUUGAGCUUCUCAUGUUUGGAUAUCUAGAUCUCUAGCAAGGCCAAGGAAGAUUAUUCCCCUCAAAUAUGUUUUCCAAACUUUUAGAUUUAUCUUCUUCCUUGGGAACAUGAAUUAUUCUUAGGUUGGUUGUUUAACAUAAUCCCAAACUUCUUGGAGGUCUUGUUCAUUUUUUAAAAAUACUUUUUUCUUUGUCUUUGUUGGAUUGGGUUAAUCCAAAAGUCUUGUCUUUGGGCUCUUAAGUUCUUUCUUCUACUUGUUUGAUUCUAUUGCUGAGACUUUCCAGUGUAUUUUGCAUUUCUCUAAGUGUGUCCUUCAUUUCCAGAAAUUGUAAUUGUUUUUGAUUUACGCUAUUUCUCUGGAGAUUUUUCUGUCCAUAUCCGGUAACACUUUUUAAAAUUUCUUUAAGUUGGUAUUCACCUUUCUCUGGUGCCUUCUUGAGUAGCUUAGUAAUUGAUCUUCUGAUUUUUUUUUUUUCUGGCAAUUUCAGAGAUUUCUUUUUGGUUUGGAUCCAUUGUUGGUGAGCUGGUGUGAUCUUUUUGGCGUGUUAAAUAACCUUGUUUUGUCGUAUUACCAGAAUUGGUUUUCUGGUUCCUUCUCCUUUGUAGACUAUGUCAGAAGGAAGAUCUGGGUCUCAAGGGCUGCUCAGAUUCUGGAUUUAGCUACCCAGUGGAGCGUCUGCGCUCUGGGCUGGUACUGGGGGGUGUCUGCAAAGAGUCCUGUGAUGUGAUUCAUCUUCAGGUCUCUUAGCUGUGGAUAUCAGCACCUGCUCCGUUGGAGGUAACAGAGGAGUAAAGUAGACUCGCUGGGGUUCCUUGGUUGUAUUAUUUUUUAGUGCGCUGGUUUUGUGUUGGUUGGCCUCCAGCCAGGAGACGGCACUUUCAAGACAGCAUCAGCUGCAGUAGUACAGGGAGGAAAACAGCUUGCCCUAGGGUUACCUGGAUAAGUAUUCAGGUUUCUCAGGUGGAGGAUGGGGCCAGAUAGCUUCCAAGAGAGUAUGUCCUUCGUCUUUGGCUACUAGGGCAGGUAGAGGAACACCAUCAGGUGGGGGCAGGGUUAGGGGUGUCUGAGUUCAGACUCUCCUUGGGUAAGGGUCGCUGUGGCUGCUGUGUGGGGGUGGGGUGUGGUUCUCAGGCCAAUGAGGUUAUGUUCCCAGGGGAAUUAUGGCUGCCUCUACUGCAUCAUGUGGGUCACCAGGGAAGUGGGAGAAAGCCAGCAGUUUCAGGGCUCACCCAGCUCCCAUGCAGCCCAAAAAGCUGGUCUCAUUCCCACUGUGUGCAUCCCCAAUCAAUGCACAGUUUGUUUGCAGGCAGCAGGUGCGCAGGGCUGGGAACUCGCCCCAGGCUACAAGCCUCCCUGCUGAGAAAGCAAGCAGGGCUUUCAGGUUUCGUGCCUCCCCACCUGCUGCAGCUUCUGUGCUCAUGUCUGCACUCACAGUUCACCCCCUCCCCUGAGUUCUGUCCAGGAAACUUCGUGUUCAGUUGAAAUUGUUGCAAAGUUCAGCUGGAAGCUUCCUUCUCCCUGUAGUCUUUCCCCAAUUCCGUUGGCAGCCCUCCCCAAGGACCCCUGUGAGAUGAAGUCAGAAAUGGCUUCCCUGGGGACCAACAGUACCCUCAGGGCUCUUCCUGCUGCUUUCUCUACCCCCCGUAUUUCAUUCAGCUCUCUAAGUUCAUCUCGGCUCCAGAAGCUGAAGACCUCAGAAAACCUGAUCAACAUGAAAUAUGGUAUGAAGUAGUACUCAAUAAAGAGAAAACAUGAUGGUAAUCUUGAAGAAAAGCACCAUAUUCAUCUCUGACAGUAAGCAAGCCUGGAUCUGAGAGAGAUAUCAUCUUGCAAGGAUGCCUGCUUUACAAACAUCCUUGAAACAACAAUCCAGAAAAAAAAAGGUGUUGCUGUCUUUGCUCAGAAGACACACAGAUACGUGACAGAACCAUGGAGAAUUGCCUCCCAACACUGUUCAGCCAGAGCCUUCCACCCUUGUCUGCAGGACAGUCUCAACGUUCCACCAUUAAAUACUUCUUCUGUCACAUCCUGCUUAUUUAUGCCUAACCAAGGUUCUAGGUCCCGAUCGACUGUGUCUGGCAGCACUCCACUGCCAAACCCAGAAUAAGGCAGCGCUCAGGAUCCCGAAGGGGCAUGGCUGGGGAUCAGAACUUCUGGGUUUGAGUGAGGAGUGGGUCCACCCUCUUGAAUUUCAAAGGAGGAAGAGGCUGGAUGUGAAGGAACUGGGGGAGGGAAAGUGUCAGUUCCGAACUCUUAGGUCAAUGAGGGAGGAGACUGGUAAGGUCCCAGCUCCCGAGGUACUGAUGUGGGAAUGGCCUAAGAAUCUCAUAUCCUCAGGAAGAAGGUGCUGGAAUCCUGAGGGGUAGAGUUCUGGGUAUAUUUGUGGCUUAAGGCUCUUUGGCCCCUGAAGGGCAGAGGCUGGAACCAUUAGGUCCAGGGUUUGGGGUGAUAGUAAUGGGAUCUCUUGAUUCCUCAAGAGUCUGAGGAUCGAGGGUUGCCCAUUCUUCCAUCUUGCCACCUAAUCCUUACUCCACUUGAGGGUAUCACCAGCCCUUCUAGCUCCAUGAAGGUGCCCCUGGGCAAGCACAAUCUGAGCAUGAAAGAUGCCCCAGAGGCCUUGGGUGUCAUCCACUCAUCAUCCAGCAUCCACACUCUGAGGGUGUGGCCAGCACCAUGACGUCAUGUUGCUGUGACUAUCCCUGCAGCGUGCCUCUCCAGCCACCUGCCAACCGUAGAGCUGCCGACAUCCUCCUCUGGUGGGAGUGGCCUGCAUGGUGCCAGGCUGAGGCCUAGUGUCAGACAGGGAGCCUGGAAUCAUAGGGAUCCAGGACUCAAAAGUGCUAGAGAAUGGCCAUAUGUCACCAUCCAUGAAAUCUCAAGGGCUUCUGGGUGGAGGGCACAGGGACCUGAACUUAUGGGUUUUCCCCAAGUCUAUUGCUCUCCCAAGUGAGUCUCCCAGAUACGAGGCACUGUGCCAGCAUCAGCCUUAUCUCCACCACAUCUUGUAAAAGGGACUACCCAGGGCCCUGAUGAACACCAUGGUGUGUACAGGAGUAGGGGGUGGAGGCACGGACUCCUGUGAGGUCACAGCCAAGGGAGCAUCAUCAUGGGUGGGGAGGAGGCAAUGGACAGGCUUGAGAACGGGGAUGUGGUUGUAUUUGGUUUUCUUUGGUUAGAUAAAGUGCUGGGUAUAGGAUUGAGAGUGGAGUAUGAAGACCAGUUAGGAUGGAGGAUCAGAUUGGAGUUGGGUUAGAGAUGGGGUAAAAUUGUGCUUCGGAUGAGUUUGGGAUUGACACUGUGGAGGUGGUUUGGGAUGGCAUGGCUUUGGGAUGGAAAUAGAUUUGUUUUGAUGUUGGCUCAGACAUCCUUGGGGAUUGAACUGGGGAUGAAGCUGGGUUUGAUUUUGGAGGUAGAAGACGUGGAAGUAGCUGUCAGAUUUGACAGUGGCCAUGAGUUUUGUUUGAUGGGGAAUCAAACAAUGGGGGAAGACAUAAGGGUUGGCUUGUUAGGUUAAGUUGCGUUGGGUUGAUGGGGUCGGGGCUGUGUAUAAUGCAGUUGGAUUGGUUUGUAUUAAAUUGGGUUGGGUCAGGUUUUGGUUGAGGAUGAGUUGAGGAUAUGCUUGGGGACACCGGAUCCAUGAGGUUCUCACUGGAGUGGAGACAAACUUCCUUUCCAGGAUGAAUCCGGGGAAGCCUUAAUUCACGUGUAGGGGAGGUCAGGCCACUGGCUAAGUAUAUCCUUCCACUCCAGCUCUAAGAUGGUCUUAAAUUGUGAUUAUCUAUAUCCACCUCUGUCUCCCUCACUGUGCUUGGAGUUUACCUGAUCACUCAACUAGAAACAGGGG
rnacentral:lncRNA from 1 species